CGCACGGGUGCGUAACGCGUGGGAAUCUGCCCUCUGGUACGGAAUAACUCAGGGAAACUUGAGCUAAUACCGUAUAAUGACUCCGGUCCAAAGAUUUAUCGCCUGAGGAUGAGCCCGCGUAGGAUUAGCUAGUUGGUGAGGUAAAAGCUCACCAAGGCGACGAUCCUUAGCUGGUCUGAGAGGAUGAUCAGCCACACUGGAACUGAGACACGGUCCAG
rnacentral:rRNA from 1 species